UACGUAGGCAGCAAGCGUUGUUCGGAAUUACUGGGCGUAAAGAGUGUGUAGGCGGUGCUCUAAGUCUGUUGUGAAAUCUCCCGGCUUAACUGGGAGGGUGCGGCGGAAACUGGAGUGCUUGAGGGUGGGAGAGGUAAGCGGAAUUCCUGGUGUAGCGGUGAAAUGCGUAGAUAUCAGGAGGAACACCUGUGGUGUAGACAGCUUACUGGACCACUUCUGACGCUGAGACACGAAAGCGUGGGUAGCAAACAGG
rnacentral:rRNA from 1 species